rnacentral:ncRNA from 2 species
UAGGACUAUCAUUGUGAAGCAGAAUUCACCAAGUGUUGGAUUGUUCACCCACCAAUAGGGAACGUGAGCUGGGUUUAGACCGUCGUGAAAUAUGUU